GAACCUGCGGAAGGAUCAUUGUCG
rnacentral:rRNA from 22 species